CGAACGCUGGCGGCGUGCUUAAUACAUGCAAGUCAACUUGACUUUAGAUAGCAAUAUCGAAAAGUAGGGUGGCGCACGGGUGCGUAACGCGUAGGUAAUCUGCCCUGAGGUCUGACAUAACCCGUCGAAAGGCGGGCUAACAUCAGAUGAUAUAUAAUCACGACAUCGUGGAAAUAUCAAAUCUUCGGAGCCUUGGGAUGAGCCUGCGUCUGAUUAGGUAGUUGGCGGAGUAAUAGCCCACCAAGCCUACGAUCAGUAGCUGGUCUGAGAGGAUGAUCAGCCACACUGGAACUGAGACACGGUCCAGACUCCUACGGGAGGCAGCAGUAAGGAAUAUUGCUCAAUGGGGGGAAACCCUGAAGCAGCAACGCCGCGUGAAGGAUGAAAUACUUUGUAUGUAAACUUCUGUAAGAUGGGAAAAAUAUUCUCCUCGGGAGAAUUGAUUGUACCAUCAGAGUAAGCCCCGGCUAACUACGUG
rnacentral:rRNA from 1 species